UACGUAGGGCGCAAGCGUUGUCCGGAAUUAUUGGGCGUAAAGAGCUCGUAGGCGGCCUGUCGCGUCUGCUGUGAAAUUUCGGGGCUCAACCCCGAACUUGCAGUGGAUACGGGCAGACUAGAGUGUGGUAGGGGAGACUGGAAUUCCUGGUGUAGCGGUGAAAUGCGCAGAUAUCAGGAGGAACACCGAUGGCGAAGGCAGGUCUCUGGGCCAUAACUGACGCUGAGAAGCGAAAGCAUGGGGAGCGAACAGG
rnacentral:rRNA from 1 species